rnacentral:rRNA from 1 species
CCUACGGGGGGCAGCAGUAGGGAAUCUUCCACAAUGGGCGAAAGCCUGAUGGAGCAACGCCGCGUGGGUGAAGAAGGUCUUCGGAUCGUAAAACCCUGUUGUUAGAGAAGAAAGUGCGUGAGAGUAACUGUUCACGUUUCGACGGUAUCUAACCAGAAAGCCACGGCUAACUACGUGCCAGCAGCCGCGGUAAUACGUAGGUGGCAAGCGUUAUCCGGAUUUAUUGGGCGUAAAGGGAACGCAGGCGGUCUUUUAAGUCUGAGUGAAAGCCUUCGGCUUAACCGGAGUAGUGCAUUGGAAACUGGGAGACGUGAGUGCAGAAGAGGAGAGUGGAACACCAUGUGUAGCGGUGAAAUGCGUAGAUAUAUGGAAGAACACCAGUGGCGAAAGCGGCUCUCUGGUCUGUAACUGACGCUGAGGUUCGAAAGCGUGGGUAGCAAACAGGAUUAGAUACCCUUGUAGUC